AAAGUAAAUACUUUCCCAAGAAAGAGGAAAAGAACUUCUAUAGUUUGGAAAGAGUUUAUUCAAAUUCCUAAAUAAAAGAAUCCUGAUGGGAGACAGAGGGCAAAAUGUAAGGCUUGUGGGAAUAUAUAUUUGGCUGACUCAGAUAUCAAUGGCACUGGCAGUUUGAGGAGACACCUUAAGAAUUGCACCAAACGUAAAAACAAAGAUAUUGCCCAAAUGAUAUUAAGUGGAGGUGAUGGGAAUCUGACAUGUAAAAGCAAGAAGAUUGAUGCCGAAAUGGUGCGAGAUAUGAUUACCAUGCUUAUUGUUAGAAGAGAACUACCCUUGGUGUUUGUUGAAUAUCAAGAGUUUAGGGAUUUGAUUACCUAUCUUUACCCACAAUUCAGCCCGAUUAGUAGGAAUACCCAAUUGGCUGAUAUCUUGAGGUGGCACAAUAGGGAGAGUAAGAGGAUUAAGGAAUUUUUGAAUUACUUCAAUGGUAGGAUGUCAUUGACUACUGAUUUGUGGUCUUCCAUCACGACUGACUCUUAUAUUUCUCUCACUUGUCAUUACAUUGACACAGAAUGGAUAUUGCAUAAGAAAUUACUAAAAUUUUGCAUCAUGCCACCACCACACACAGGAGUUAACAUAAGUCAAAUUGCAUCAGAGAUGUUAUUGUAUUGGGGGAUUGAGAAGAAACUGUUUUCUAUUACUCUAGAUAAUGCUUCUGCAAAUCUCUCUUUUAUUGAUCACUUGAAAAGAAAUUUGGUGUUGAAGAAGGCUUUAAUGUGUGAUGGUGAUUUUUUUCAUAACCGAUGUUGUGCCCAUAUAUUGAACCUAAUUGUACAAGAUGGUUUGAAGGUAAUUGAUAAUUGUGUACAAUUGGUUCGAUCC